GACGAACGCUGGCGGCGCGCCUAACACAUGCAAGUCGAACGGAAAGGCCUGCUUUUCCUUGUGGUUUGCGUGUACUCGAGUGGCGAACGGGCGAGUAACUCGUGAAUGAUUUGCCCCCAACUUGGGUAUAAGCCUCGGAAAUAGGGUCUAAUUCCCUAUAGGACUGCAGGGUGGUGCCGGUGGUGGAAGACGAUUUUCUAGUGGUUGGGGAUGCGCUCGCGGCGUAUCAGCUUGUUGGUGGGGUAAUGGCCUACCAAGGCGGGGACGGGUAGCCGGUGUGGGAGGGUCGACGGCGACAGUGGGACUGAGAUACGGCCCAGACUCCUACGGGAAGCAGCAGUGGGGAAUAUAUGACAAUGGGCGGAAGCCUGAUGCAGCGAGGCCGCGUGGGGGAUGACGGCCUUCGGGUUGUAAACUCCUAGCGACCGCGAGGAAUCCACCUGGUUGUAAGGGUCGUGACGGUAGUGGUAGAAGAAGCACCGGCUAACUACGUG
rnacentral:rRNA from 1 species